rnacentral:lncRNA from 1 species
GUUGGCGAAGAGGCAGCUGAGAGCACGGUGAGGGUGGAGGCCAGAAAGGCAGUCGGAUGAAGAUGUGGUGAGGGCAGAGCUGCAGAGCUUGGAGAUGAUAGAGCAUAAAUUUUUAUUUUUUAUUUUUUUAAAUAGAUCAUAAAUAUGUUGGAUUUUAUUAUUUUUAAAAGAAUUAUAAAUUGAUCAUAAAUAGAUCGGAUCGGAUAACCUAUUUAUUAAGUAGAUCGG